CUUGGCCCUUGCCACAAAGAAUAUUGCUGAUUCAAGCAAGGACUUUUGCUGAUUCUGUAGCAUGGCAGUUUCUCAACAACUACUAUAUCUUACCUUAUUUUUCUUCUUCAACAGGGCAAAAUAAAAACUCCAGUUUAUUUGGCAAUUACACAAGAUUUUCAAUCAUCUCUGAAACAUGUUUGUUGUAUGUUGCUGCUUCAGUUAAUUCAGCCCCUGUUGUCAAUUAAAUAAAAGUAAUAUUAAGAAUAAUCUCUGUGGGCUUCUGUGUUCUAGGCUUACAGUUUGCAAAGCAGCUUCUUUUGGGAGGAGGGGAAGAAGAGGAUGUGUGGACUUACACAGCUCUUAGAUGAAGAGGGACACCAGAAUAGGACUGCAACUGCUGUGAUCACUCACCAGCCUGCCAGACCUGGACUGCCCUUCUCUGGCUACACUGUCCCCUGAUGCACUGAUAUUCACAGCUCUCCUUACCUUGGACAAAAGGAGUUGUCCUCUUCUGCCUCUACUCAUAGUCAUGGUGACCUAAGGGUUCCUGGUUCACAGCUACAGUAUGUGAUCAAGGCCUUGCUUGGUGUUUUUACUCUUUUCUGACAUUUAUAAAACACUAUUAGCUGUAUGUUGUUUCUCAAUGAUUUUUGAUUGCACCUGAAGAUUUGAGAACACCCAUGCUAGCAAAAUGUUUUUACUUUGUGUGUUUUGCUUUCUGAGAUGUUUUAUUGUUGUUCUUAUUCCUGUUAAAUUUCCACAGCUUUCUGGCAGACCUUUUCUUUUUC
rnacentral:lncRNA from 1 species